ACGCACCAUCCGUGAAGAACGCCAGUUGCAACUGGUAGUUCUUGUUCUCUCUAAUCCCCCCCCAACCCCGCCCCGUAUUUCUUUAAGCCGUGCCUCCAAAUCCCUCAGAGCCCAGCCACGGGCGGGGGUUUGAUUCAAUUUCCUGAUGACAUGGAGAUGCUCCCUGAGGAUGGGGAACCCAUCCUAAAGAUUGCAGGAGAAGACACCCAGGAGCCCGAGGCUGGACGGGCAGACAGGCACCGUUACCAACCAUCUACCCGGUGUUCACCACGCGCCAGGUACUGUGAGCUCCCCCCUAGCGGCCCCCGCCGGGUGGGCCUUAUUGCGUCUGGUUUCCUGGCAGGACGACAGGAGGCUCAGAGAGUCCUGUGACUUGCCCAGCACGUACUAUUGUGGGGUGGCGGAACCAGGACCCUAAACUGGCUCCGUCAGCCCCAACGCCUAUCCUCCUUCCCCUGGCUCCCACCUGGCAGCAACCUCGGGGGAAUCCGGGUGUCUGGUCUGCUUCCCUCCUCGCAGGGGCCUGCUCUUUGGAGGAAGUCUCUGGAUCACCGGGCUCAUUGGUUCUGCUCCUACCUUACUAGUUCCCGUUUAUCUUCGGAAGCCGGGCUGAGUCUUGAUGCGGUUGUGUGAGUUCCUGUAAAGGCAGCCAGCGGCCCCCCAUCGCUUCCCUACAUCUCCACUCCUGCAGACCCAGAGCUCUGCCUUCAGCCAUCAGGGGGACCGCGUCGGAGGGAAUCAGCGCAGCUACUCCCCAGGAUGGCCUGGAAGGGGAUCGGAAAACCCAGCGGGGGGUGACCUGUCCAAGAGCGUGUGAUUCAGUUUUCUGUUGAUCUUUCUCUGUGUGUGUUUAGGACGUUCUAGCUGAGAUUUUUUUUGUUGUUGUUGUUGAUGAAUGGGUUUCAGGCUAACCCGAUUAAGACGGGGGUGGGGGCAGUGGGGUGUAGGAAAACAUUUUCAUUCCCGCUUUGAUGACAUGAUUGGGCUGAGCGUGUGGGUGCCAAAUGGGUGCAAUAAUGAAAGGAGGAGUUCUGGGGGGGAAGAGGCAAUAAAAUUCUUAGUUCUUUUAAAAAUACACGAGCCGAAAAAAAUAAAAAAUAAAAAAUAAUAAAAAAUAAAAAAUAUAUAAAAAUACAUGAGCCUAUAGAAGGACGGUUUUCGCUGGUGUAGCGGGUGUCCCUGCUUCCCCGGCGGGGCGCUUCCAGCAGGCAUCCAGCGCGUCUGCUGACGUGGCUCGGCCUUUUCGGGGGCCUGCGGGCUGGGAGACGUCAUGCUAACGGCCUUUUUCUAUGUUGCUUCCUUUGCACAGAAGCUUGCAUCGGGCACUCUGACAAGUUCCUAGUAAGGUGCAGUGUUUACCUGGCGUCCCGGUACCUCUGUUUUCUCAUUUAAUACACUCAUAGCUACCCAACCAGUAAAAAAUAAUCAGAUGCUGCUCUUUCAGACAUCUCCUACAUAAACUGUAUUUCUUUGUUUAAGAAAUUUGAGUACAACAUUCAGACUCUAUUCUUAAAUUUCUUAAUAUGACAGUGCCACCUAUUCAAAGCUGCAAAUGCUUCCUUUUCCUUCGCCCGGCACUGCCUCACCUUCAUUGCAUACGCACUUCCCAAUGCUGGAUUCCAUUCUGUGCCACCGUGGAUGAGCCACGGUUUAGUUCACGAAUCUCUCAUUGUUGAGCAUUUUGAUUUUUUUAUGACAUUCUGAUCGUAUGCACAUUCCCGUGAUGCUUGUAGGCACACAGGAUUAUUCCGUAGCAUACAUUUUCAGAAGUGGGGUUGCCAGGCCAAGAGUGACGGUUCCACUUUGGAAACCAUGUACUUCAAUUCCUCCUCUGAAAAGUUCUCCUAACUUACCUUUUAUCCGCGACUGUGCAUUUACCCCAAGGCUUCGGCCUAUACCAAGUGACUUCCCAACCUACUAAGAAGUAGCAUAAAAGAAAAGAAAGAAAACCAAAACACAAAACACUGAUAAAGCUGGAGACUUUGAUAAAGUCUCGUGGACAAUAAUAUGAGCGAGGCACUCUGCGAGCUGGCAAGAGGACAGAUACUGCUGAGACGAGCCAUCGUGUAUGGGAACCCCACUCUAUGGUGCAGGAUGGACAUGAAAGAACAGAGGGUGUGCGGAGAAAUGCUGGCGGCCUGGGGUGGCCGGAGUGAAGCAUGUGAUGGGAGAUGAGACAGAGGACGGAGAGGAGGGGCUCUUGAAUUUCCCUCUGAGGGCCUGGGCUCUUCUGUUGGCUGUGGAUAGACACGUAGGCUUGUGAGAAGGGGACUGUUAUGGGUAGAUUUGAUUUUUUUUUGGAAAGCAUUUUGGUUCUCUCUCCUCUUAGCCUCCCUCCCCUUUACCAGCUGGUGCCCCUGCUUCCUUUAGGAAGCCAGAAGACCGAGUUAAGACGGUACAUGGUUGUUUAUGUCUGCAUGCAUUACUCACUUCUUAAAAUUAAAAGUUACAGGUACUGAGGGAUUUUCUUGUUGUGUUGGUGUUCCUAUAGAAACCUGGGGGAGCUUAAGGACAAAACAGAGGGCCAGCCAGAAGUGUUGUUGACCUCAUCAUGCAAGCUUAAUUGCAUAUUCUUUUUUUUUUUUUCCUGCUCUUCCCCCCCAUCCCUCCCAAAAUGGAGACUGAUUCUGGAAAAAAAUUUACUAAUUCAGAUU